CUCGUACUCCCUCCGUCCGGAAAUACUUGUCACCGAAAUGAAUAAAAGGAGAUGUAUCUAGACGUAUUUUAGUUAUAGAUACAUCCUUUUUUAUCUAUUUUGAUGACAGGUAUUUCUGGACGGAGGGAGUACAAA
rfam:Triticum aestivum genome assembly, contig: Triticum_aestivum_CS42_TGACv1_scaffold_580332_7BL